GAUGAACGCUAGCGAUAGGCUUAACACAUGCAAGUCGAGGGGCAGCACAAGGUGGCUUGCUCUCUGGGUGGCGACCGGCGCACGGGUGCGUAACGCGUAUGCAACUUGCCCUAUACAGGAGGAUAACCCGUCGAAAGACGGACUAAUACUGCGUAUGCUCACAACUUGGCAUCAAGUGGUGAGGAAAGAAAUUCGGUAUAGGAUAGGCAUGCGUCCCAUUAGCUUGUUGGUGAGGUAACGGCUCACCAAGGCAACGAUGGGUAGGGGAACUGAGAGGUUUAUCCCCCACACUGGUACUGAGACACGGACCAGACUCCUACGGGAGGCAGCAGUGAGGAAUAUUGGUCAAUGGGCGCGAGCCUGAACCAGCCAAGUCGCGUGAAGGAUGACUGUCUUAUGGAUUGUAAACUUCUUUUAUACGGGAAUAACAAGAGUCACGUGUGACUCCCUGCACGUACCGUAUGAAUAAGCAUCGGCUAACUCCGUG
rnacentral:rRNA from 1 species